UACGUAGGGAGCGAGCGUUGUCCGGAAUCACUGGGCGUAAAGAGCGUGUAGGCGGUCUGCCAAGUCAGGGGUGAAAGCCCAGAGCUCAACUCUGGAAUUGCCUUUGAGACUGUGAGGCUUGAGUACGGGAGAGGUGGAGUGGAAUUCCCAGUGUAGAGGUGAAAUUCGUAGAUAUUGGGAAGAACACCGGUGGCGAAGGCGGCUCACUGGCUCAUUUCUGACGCUCAGGCGCGACAGCGUGGGGAUCGAAACAGG
rnacentral:rRNA from 1 species